UAUACAUUUUAUAAAUGGCAAUAGGUGAAAACUACAUAAUAUGUACAAAAGCCUGAAAAAAUCACUUUAGAAAAUGGAACAGGAGAUAUUAAAUGUCUACUACUGUGACUUGACUGUAAGAAUAGAAAUUCUUAAAAACAUUUUCAUAAUAUCAAUGAAGUGGAAUUAAAGUCUAAUAGGAUUAUAAGUAUGCUUUAUUUCAUCACCGUGCACUUUCAUUACCUGACUGUGUACAGCAGUUUGUUAAAAUUUCUAACCAGAUGAACAGUUUGGUUUGAUAAAAACAAAUUGAAAUUUUGUCAGAAUUUUGAAUUUACUGCAAUAGGUGGAGAGCAACACUUACAGUCAAGUCACAGUAAUAUUUGUAUCUAACUAGAGAUUGCCCUAAAUUUCAGUUUUUUACACCUUUCAAAUGUCUGCUAUUCAUCUAUAAUGAAAUUUAUUUGAUAAAUAUGUUUAAAGCUGCAGUUAUUUGGUUUAAAUAGAUGUGUAAAAACGGUGAAUAUGUGUCCCCCGUUGACAAAAAAUCAGGAAAUUUCAAACACCCUUUAAUCCAAUUUUUCUGAUGAUUUUUCUCAAAACAAACACGUUUUCAAGCUAAGAAUAUUUUGCAUUUGAAGUUAUCUUCAUAUAGAAAUAUCAGUAUACUUAAAAAACAUAAAGACCUGAACAUAAACUGAAGAAGUUGUCGUAUGUAGAUUAGGCAACAUAGAAAUUAUCAGGAAUUUUAAAUUUGGGAAUUAUUUUGACCAUUUUGACUGAAUUUGGUUGUUUAUGUGCAUGUGCCUGUCCAAAGUUUGGAACUUGUUUUUCAGUGUUUUGUAGUUGGUUUCUGUUUGCUGUAUUUUCAUGUUGGUUUAUAGUUUUCAGUGGCAGAUCCAGAAAUUUUCAUAAGUGGGGGCCCACUGACUGACCUAAGAGGGGGCCCGCUCCAGUCUUGCUUCAGUGAUUCACUAUAUAAGCAACCAAAUUUUUUCCCAAAAAGGGGGGCCUGGGCCCCCUGCCUCUCCCCCCUAAAUCCGCCUCUGUUUUUCACAUCAAUUAAUAUAUAGUGACCUAUAGUUAUUAGUCAGUAAGAUCGAAGGAAAAUUUCGUAAAAUAGUGAUUAUUGCUAAAAUCGACAUUCUUUGGUCUCUGAUGGAAUGUUUUCUCAUUGGCAAGCAUAUCACAUCUCCUAAUUUUUAUACAGUACAGUACAUAACAGUUCCAUGCAUAAUAACAUUCAUUUUACUGCACUAAAUGCACAUUUAGACAAAAGUUUCUUCAGUGACGCUCAUUAAGGCAAAUAUAUUUGAAAAUCAGAAAUUUUAAAGAUCAAAUGAAACAAAAGGGAACAAAACUAAAGUGAAACCUUGACAAGGAAUCAUAGCUAUGCUUAAGGUGGUACCCAACACCUUAACUAAAAUUAAUUUGGCUCGUUUAUUUUUCUUCAAAUUUUGACAAAAUAUUUACUAUGAUGCUUUGACAAAAAUAAUAAAUUUUCAAAAAAUUUG
rnacentral:lncRNA from 1 species